rnacentral:rRNA from 1 species
UGGGGAAUUUUGGACAAUGGGCGAAAGCCUGAUCCAGCAAUGCCGCGUGUGUGAAGAAGGCCUUCGGGUUGUAAAGCACUUUUGUCCGGAAAGAAAUCCUUGGCUCUAAUACAGUCGGGGGAUGACGGUACCGGAAGAAUAAGCACCGGCUAACUACGUGCCAGCAGCCGCGGUAAUACGUAGGGUGCAAGCGUUAAUCGGAAUUACUGGGCGUAAAGCGUGCGCAGGCGGUUUGCUAAGACCGAUGUGAAAUCCCCGGGCUCAACCUGGGAACUGCAUUGGUGACUGGCAGGCUAGAGUAUGGCAGAGGGGGGUAGAAUUCCACGUGUAGCAGUGAAAUGCGUAGAGAUGUGGAGGAAUACCGAUGGCGAAGGCAGCCCCCUGGGCCAAUACUGACGCUCAUGCACGAAAGCGUGGGGAGCAAACAGGAUUAGAUACCCUGGUAGUCCCACGCCCUAAACGAUGUCAACUAGUUGUUGGGGACUUCAUUUUCCUUAGUAACGUAGCUAACGCGUGAAGUUGACCGCCUGGGGAGUACGGUCGCAAGAUUAAAACUCAAAUGAAUUGACGGGGUCAUAGCUGUUUCCU